GAAGUUGUCAUAAGAACUCGGAAUACUGAGCCAAUAAGACCCAGGCAUACAAGCACACCAGAAGAACGUAUUAAUAAUAAAAUUGAUGUGGAACCAUCGCCAGGAAGUGUUGUAGAGAUAAUGCUCUCAGAUUCAGAGGAUGACCGUCCAAGUAUUUCAGACCACGUUGCAAAAGAAAACCAAUGUUACAGAGAAUACAUGGACGUGUAUGCACCUGUGAUUACUGAAGAGGAUGAUGAGCUUGUAGCCACAGCACAAUGUCUUGACCUCCCAGAGCCAAUAGAGGUACAAGGCAGUUUAACAGCUCCUGACAUUAUUUCAAAUCUGGCUCUUGCCAUUGAUCGAAAACGUGUCAGCAGAUUUAACAUCAUGAGAUCCAAUGUGUGGGAUGGGGCAGUCAGAGGAUUUAAACGUGUCUCAUACUCAGAAUUCACUGACAUGUUUGUUAAGUUCUCUGAUGAUGCUGGCACAUUUGAAGAGGGUCUUGAUACAGGUGGACCAAGACGUGAACUUCUUACUUUGCUGAUGAGCUGCCUACAGUAUCGCCCCAUUUUUGAUGGACCUCCCAGUAGUCGUUACCUGGUAUACAAUU